rnacentral:rRNA from 1 species
GUUGACCUCGGAUCAGGUAGGGAUACCCGCUGAACUUAAGCAUAUCAAAGCGGAAGGAA